AAUCAACGCUGGCGGCGUGCCUCAGACAUGCAAGUCGAACGAUUAAAGCUCUCUUCGGAGAGUGUAUAGAGUGGCGCACGGGUGAGUAACACGUAAGUAAUCUACCCUCGAGUGGGGAAUAACAACCGGAAACGGUUGCUAAUACCGCAUAAUGCAGCGGCACCGCAAGGUGACAGUUGUUAAAGAUUUAUCGCUUGAGGAGGAGCUUGCGGCAGAUUAGCUAGUUGGUAGGGUAACGGCUUACCAAGGCUACGAUCUGUAACCGGUCUAAGAGGACGGUCGGUCACACUGACACUGAAUAACGGGUCAGACUCCUACGGGAGGCAGCAGUCGGGAAUUUUGGGCAAUGGGCGAAAAGCCUGACC
rnacentral:rRNA from 1 species